AAUAGAUACCCCGGUAGUCCUGGCCCUAAACGAUGAGUGCUUGGUGUGGGCGGGUAUCGAGUCCCUGCCGUGCCGAAGCUAACGCAUUAAGCACUCCGCCUGGGGAGUACGGUCGCAAGGCUGAAACUCGAAAGGAAUUGACGGGGGCCCGCACAAGCGGUGGAGCAUGUGGUUCAAUUCGACGCAACGCGAAGAACCUUACCUGGGCUUGAACUGUAGAUGACAUCCGGCGAAAGUCGGCUUCCGCAAGGACGUCUGCAGAGGUGCUGCAUGGCUGUCGUCAGCUCGUGUCGUGAGAUGUUGGGUUAAGUCCCGCAACGAGCGCAACCCUCGUCCUCUGUUGCCAUCAGGUUACGCUGGGCACUCUGAGGAGACUGCCGGUGAUAAACCGGAGGAAGGUGGGGAUGAGUCAAGUCAGCAUGGCCUUUAUGUCCAGGGCUACACACGUGCUACAAUGGCCGGUACAAAGCGUCGCGAGCCCGCGAGGGGGAGCUAAUCGCAGUAAAGCCGGUCUCAGGUUC
rnacentral:rRNA from 1 species